GUAUUCCAUUUCACGUUUAUUAUGAAAGUGAUUCUAGCAAAAGUUUUAUUACAUGCUUCAUUUGGAGCUUUGACAUAUUAAACAAAGCUAUUGCUAUACAGAGGCAAAGGGAAAUGUAGAGUUAGAUAAGAUACAUUUACAACAACAUUUUCUACUACUGAAUCUGUCAGUUUUGUUAAAAUGUCGGUAAAGCUCAGACCACUGUAUUUUAUUUUCUAAGUAUCAAACUUUGUACAGUUAUUCACUAUCGUUGCUCUAACUAACAUGGUACAAUUCAUAUGGAAAUAGCUGUUUGUACAUAAUUUACAUAGGUAAUAAACCUUAGCCUCACCAGCAGCAGCUACAAGGAUUUAGUUCAAAUCAUCACUCAUGCCCAGUGAGCUAUAAACAGCAAAACAGUUCAUAAACCAGUAUUAUAUUACCAGUAAUUUCCCCCCCUGGUCUAGCCUAACAGAAGUUCCUGUUAAACAUAUAAAGGACAUAGUUGACUUUAAUCAGGCAAAAUUCUCACUGAUCUUAGUGGCAGUUUUGCCUGAUUAAGGACUCCCAGAUCAGGACCAAUGCGUAGUUUUACCACUUCCACGGCAACCAAGUCACACAGAUAUACUGUACUUUUCCUGAUCUCUGUACUAUAUUGGGCAUAAUGUUUUGAAUCUCCUUUUUGUUUCUGGACUUUAUUUUUUCCCCUUAAUCAAGCUAACGCUUACUUUAACAUACAUGUUCUUUAUGUUAUAAAAAUAGUAAGCACUUCAGAAUGGUAAUUGAUAGUCACUGCUACACAACUAGCAGGCUAUAUUGCCCGAGAAAACCUUUGUUAUGAUCCCAGGCAGACUGCAGAAAUAACAGGACUAACCAUAGAAAUGAAUCUUGCAACUGACUAAAUGCAACCCGGGCCCUGAUGUAACUUUUUAAUCAUCACAGUUUAAUAACCACUGCUGUCAAUGCAAACUAGCAGUAUUUCCAAGAUAUAAAAUGCAGAAAAACAUAUUUACAAAAUAAUUUUAAUUAAAAAAAUGUUAAAAAGAAAAACAAUAAAAAUGCUCUAAAAAGACAAGAUGUUUCUCAUUCAUUAAAAUAAAAUUUUGUUAAGCAGAGCUGUUUGUUGUUUUUCUGAAUGUGGAAGAUUAAUUAGUGAUGAGUAAUUCAGCUGUAUUUCUUAGAGUACACAUUUCUGGGUAUGCUGUGGAAGUAUAAAGCUACAGUCACCGAAUGAAAACAAUGCAAGUGUUAAAUUAAAGUUACUCCUUUACUACAGUCAUUUAAAAUACAAUGCACUGAAUAUUCCUAAAAUGCCAUAGAAUAGUACUUAUAGUUAUUGUCUUUAAAAGUAGAAUCAGUGCCAUACAUAAGCAAAAGUUGAAACCCAACUGCAAAAGUUCAUAUGUAUUUAAACUUGUUAUCUCAGCUUUCUGAAUACAGAUGGUUUAAAUUAUUACAUCGAAAGGUGCCACUGUACAUUUUUAUUGUUGUAUAUUACACAUGAAUUUUAUAGAUUAAUAACUAAUUGUAGAAACAGAAUAAAUAAAUGAAAUAGUAAACUGGAAUUGUAUAUAUUCAGAUACUUAGAUAACAAUUCUUUGCCUUAAAGAGUUAAUCUUCCUGUACAUUUCUGUUCUAAUGGAAAGUGUGAUGAUAGAGAGAGAGAGAGAGAGAGAGAGAGAGAGAGAUUUCUUUUGCAUCCAAGCCCAAAAUUGAGGAAUAAGGUCAUAUUAUUUUACAGUAAUUUCCCUUCUUCCAAAAACAAUUCUAGUGGAAGACAAAAGUCUUUCAUUUUUUUUCAAGUGCUCACAACACUCUCUCAUCCUAGAAAACUAUCUAAAUAAGUAUCAAAAGUCUCAAUGUUCUGAGAUUCUAUAGAACUUUCCCAGUUACUGACAUUCCCAUCAAAUGAUAGUUUAAACUGUGAAAGAAACAGCAGUUAGACGAAACCAUCACACUAAUAUGUGUAAUUGUAUUCAUAGGUCCGGCUCUUUAGCUCCACUGAAGUCAAUGGGAGCUUUGCCAUUGACUUCAAUGGGGUCAGGAUUUCAUCCCAGAUUUUUUUUUAAAGAGCAUUAAAAGUUAGUCAGAAUCCAGACAUCAGUAAAGUCAAAGACCAGUUGAUGUAGCAGUUCUAGUAGACUAUGAAUCACAAUGCUGCUUUCACUCUUAAAGAUUAUUUUGAAGGUAGCUAUCCACAAUAGUUAAUCCUGGUUUAUUUUUAAAAAUGGUUGAAAUAAUAAAUUCAAAUAUGCUGGGUAAAUUAACAAGGGAGCCUUUCUAGUUUGGAAGUUUAAUUUUGGAUAAUUUGCCCACAUUGGCUCAAAAUCUCUUCUUUGUAGUCCUACUUGUAUGACAUAGGACUGAAAAAUCAAUCGUGCUUAUUAGAAGCCAUCUAAUAAAUCAAACUGCAGACUCUCUGAAAACUCUGGGCCCAAUUCUCCUCUUGCUUAAGCCAGUGUAAAACAGGAAUAAAUUCACUAAGUCAGUGAAGUUACUGUGGUGUAAAAUUUGGUGUGAGAGAAGAAUCAGGGCCAGUGCCUUUUUAUAGUUCCUCUCUUCAGUAUUGUAUCAUUCUAUAUAUUAAAUUCAAAGAUUUGCAGAACAUUCUUUUGUAGCUCAUAGAAAUAGCUUUGAUCCUGUUUAAAUGUCAAGGUUUGGCAGAUAGACCUAUUUUCCAACAAUUGUCUCACCAAUGAGGGAAGAUUAGCAUCCACUGUGGCAGCUGGGAUAAAUGAACUAAAUUACUGAAGAAUUUCAUCGAUGCAGCAUAUGGCUCUCCCUCUUUCUAAGAUUCAGUGUAAGAACAGGAUGCUUUUCACUUAAAGCUCCUCAAUUCUUUCUGCCAACCCACUUCAGUUGUUAAGGACUCACUAACAGCCUUUUGGAUGUACAGUCUGUCAGCCCAUGGAGAACAGACUUUUUAAGUCAUGAUUUUCCAUGCCUAGAGAAGAUAUAUGACAGAGUUAAAUAAAAGUACAUCAUCUUCUGAUAGCACAAUCAUUCCCAUAGAAACAGAAUUAUUGGACAUAUGCAGCAGGCAUAAUGUCCAGAUCUGGAUUCAAAACUUCCUAAAGUUUGGGAAGUUCAAAUACAGGGCUUUGCUUCAGACCUGUUAGAGGGUUUGGAACGAGAGGCAUAUUCCAGAGCCAGCUUCAGAUUUAACACUUCCACAAAGUUUGCGGGUGUUCUCAUGGUUUGGGCUCAUCUCCAAUAAUUAUACUAUAGAGUGCUUUGACUUUACUCUCUGGGGCAAAACAAAACAAAACACAAAGAUAAGGCAAAAAGAGAAAAAGUGUUUUAGAGAUCGUUUGUGUACAACAGAGGGAGGAAAGUAGGGAAAGAUGGUAGGAUGAAAGAAUAUAUCAAAAGUUAAAAAUUCAGUCUUACUGAGUUAGCUCCUCAGCUGGUUUAAAUUGUCAUAACUCUAUUGAAGGCAAUACUCAGCUGAGGAUCUGGCCAAUUGAACUUAGUGCCCUGUUUCUGGCUGUGCUCAAAUGAAACCCACAUGCCUACUCCAUAACAGUUAUUAACAAUUAGUAAAUGUGAUGAUUUUGGCAUUAUUAUCAAGCAACUUCUAAUUAUUGCAGUCUACAAGAUCACAGAAAAUAUAUUCAGUGUCGUUUUUGUGGGAGAUGAAGAAUAUUUAGGGAUGAUUCAUUACCAUCUCUCUAAAACAAUAAGUGCAGAAUUUAGGGUAGGAGGAGAGAUUUAAAAAAUAAGUGCUACUGGUGUUCAGCUUUUAAACAUAAGAACAUUUUCAAAUUGAACAAAAAAAAGGUCAUUUAUGGAUAUGGAAUUAGGCCAUCGCAAAUUAAUACAGUUUUCAAUUGCCCUGUAGCAACAUGCGAAGCCAUAAAUGGGAGAUCAUUUGUCGCACUAGAUUUAGAUGCAAUAUUCUCUAUUUAGGUAAGACCUACCAUUUUUUUCACACCUGCAACCUACAAUUUUGAAUCUCUUAUUUUUUGAUAUCAUGAAGGUGCCUCUCUCAAAAAGAGGGAAGCAUUAUUAAUGUCCCUAUUUCUCCCACGUGCUUUGAGUCUCCGACGUUUGAUAGCUUAUCUCCACCUACAAAACAAGCCAUUUCUUGCUCUGCUACUGUUACUGAAUGGUGACAUGUUCUGACAAACUGCCAUAUCAGUCUGUGACUGCUGUUAAUGAAAAUACAAACAUUCACAAAUCAGAAGCCCAACUCACAUUAAUGUGGCACCGUAUUCUAUUUGAUGAAUGACAGUUUCUGCCAAUAUAAGUCACCAAACUGGUUUUUCAAAGCCCUCACACAGCUCUGAAAUUCAUACCAUACUUUUGGAUGGGGAUUUUUAAUAGCAAUUUUUACUUUUAUCAUGUAAGUGAAAUAUUAUAUGUGUUUUUAUGAAAACCAGCUUGUAUUAACAACAAGAAUCCAAAAUCUGCUAAGACAAUAUUAUCUAUCACUUGAUGCUAACUUUUUUCAUUAGAAAUUUGCACAUCUACCUGGCACAUUUCUAAGGGAAAACACAAACAUCACAUAAAAUAUAUGAUUUUCUACAUUUACAGCACAAGAAACAUUCAGUAUGUCAGCUAUAUACUUGUAAUGGCCAAAUUGUCUCUUGGUUACAGCAUAGUCAAUGAGCCAAAUUCUACCUUUAUUACCUGGGAACAAAUCAAUGAGUGUUGCAUCCAUGUAAUGGAGGGCAUCCUCAGAGCUAGGUCUGGUCUAUACUGGGGAUUGCAGCAGUUAGUGGCCAGACACCAGAGUAGGUGCAUCAGUAUAAACCUCUAGUGUAGACAAGUUAAACUGCAAUAAGCACCAGUGUAGCGUAGCCAUUUUAAGCUGGCGUAAACUGCACUAGUGCAAAUCAUAGUUUAGCUUGCUUCUGCUAGUGGUUUCCACUACUGCAGCUAUACUGUUGGCUGGCCACCAAUGGCUGUGAUCAGGGCAACUCCCUAGUGUAGACAAGCCUUUGUCCUGGCUUCAUACUAGUGUAACUGAAAGCCCUAAAGGUGUUACUGCACUGAAAAGGGAUUCCUGACCUGCAAGGGAAAUUACCUUGUGCUGUGUUGCAAAAAAGAUCAUUUGCCCUGCAGGCCAGUAAUACUUUACUGUGUUGUUGGGACCAAUCCUGCGAGUUGCUGAAUGAGAGUUUUAGGUGCCAUAUAGUCUGCAUGAGACAUUCAGUACUGCGUAGCAUUAGAUCCAGACUUAUUUCCUUAAAUUGAGAAAUGCAGUUUGAAAGUUCAGAGAACAAUGUGAAGCCUUCAGGAAAUCAUGGUGUUAUUUCAUUUCUUUAAAUUGUGUGUCUUCUUUUGAGAAUUUCAGUCAGUUUUCCAAUAUCUUUAAAUUGGAUUGUGGUAAUCAUGACCAAUUCAGCCAUUCUGGAUAAUCUCUGGAACACCUUUGCAAUGUUCACAUCACUCUGAAAUACUAGGUUUCUUUCUAGUUGUCUUUGAGCAUUCAGAUUUAUGCAUGCAUAUUUGUGAUCUACAUAGCUUCUUGUAUGAUCCACUGCACUUUAUUGUACAAACUAUGUAUAAUUAUAAGUAUUUCUGCUAGCUCCCCCACCCCUACAUUUAGCAAAUGGUUUUCCAUUCUACAAACGCACUAGGCCUAGCACGGAUCAUACAUCCCUUGGGACACCCAUCCUUGGACUCCUACUAGGCAAUAGUGAUCAUUUAAAAAAUUAAGUUCCCCACCCUUGAGGAAGAGAUCUUAUAAAAGUUAGCACAGUGACAUUCAAUUCUGAAAGGAGAAUUUUCCUUAAAAAGGAGGAAGCUACUCAAAAAGACCCUUUAAUUAAAAAUGAAGAACUUAAAAUCAGUCUGGAGACUAUUUCAGCACACUAUAACAGAACAAACAGGAAAGAAGGCAACUCCCCUCUCCCUCAAAUGGCUAAAUGGCCAGAUUAAAAAUGGGAUUCAAACCAAACAGGUAUCUUUCAGGAAAUGGCAAUCCAGCUCAGCUGUAGCCAGGAGAAAGGAACAGAGACUAUUGCUGAUAAAAUGUAAAUUGGAAAUUAAGAAAGCCAAAUGGGAGUUUGAAGAGUAAUUAGCCAGACAUAAAAAUAUAUGCAUAUAAAUUAGUGCAAAACAUCUUUAAAGUAUAUAUCAGAAGCACGAAGUCUUUGAGAGAAUUCAUAGGUCUUUUGGAUUACCAGGGAGAUAAGGGAGCAGCAGAAGAGCAAAGUUAAAUGAUGUAUUUGCCACAGUCUUCACCACAAGAGAUGUUGGGGUGAUGCCUACUCUCCUUAGAUAAUAAAAAUGAGGGACAAAGGGCAGGGUGGUGAACCUCCCUGGUAAAUGAAACAAAUCACCCCAGGUGGCACCCAUCCAAGAGUUCUGAAGAAACUGAAAAAUGAAGUGGCUAUGGAGAUAACAAAAAUAUACAAUCUCUCAUUGAAAUCUACUGUUACGUCAGCGAACUGAUGGAGAUGACAGGAUUCUUGCACCUUCUUGUUGCUGUCAGAAGAUGGCCACUAAUCUGACUUACUAUGGCAAUUUCUUAUGUUCAUAUGAAGCUAAUGGGUGUUUUAGAUGUGAAUCUGCUACUCAAGUAAGUGGGAGUUUUGGGGGCCCAAGGCAUGCAGGAUCCAGCUACUAGUGUAUAUUUAAUUAAUUUAAAAUAUUUAAAA